rnacentral:rRNA from 1 species
AGAGUUUGAUCAUGGCUCAGAGUGAACGCUGGCGGCGUGCUUAACACAUGCAAGUCGAACGAGAACGGUACUAGCUUGCUAGUAUGUCAGCUAAGUGGCGGACGGGUGAGUAAUGUAUAGUUAAUCUGCCCUUCAGAGGGGGAUAACAGUUAGAAAUGACUGCUAAUACCCCAUACUCCUUUUAUAUUAAUUGUAAUUGGGAAAUGUUUUUUCGCUGAAGGAUGAGACUAUAUGGUAUCAGGUAGUUGGUGGGGUAAGAGCCUACCAAGCCAAUGACGCCUAGCUGGUCUGAGAGGAUGAUCAGCCNCACUGGAACUGAGACACGGUCCAGACUCCUACGGGAGGCANCAGUGGGGAAUAUUGCNCAAUGGGGGAAACCCUGAUGCAGCAACGCCGCGUGGAGGAUGACACAUUUCGGUGCGUAAACUCCUUUUAUAUGGGAAGAUAANGA